GUAGUCUCGCACAGAUGCAUAUCAAUAAGCGGAGGAAAAGAAACUAACAAGGAUUCCCUUAGUAACGGCGAGUGAAGCGGGAAGAGCUCAAAUUUGAAAUCUUCAAGGUUUUACCUUGACGAAUUGUAGUUUAAAGAAGUGUUUUCUGUUGAAGUUUUGGUAAAAGUUCUUUGGAAUAGGACAUCAUAGAGGGUGAGAAUCCCGUAUUUGACCAUUAUUUUCAGCUGUGUGAUACACUUUCGAAAGAGUCGGAUUGUUUGGGAAUGCAGUCCAAAAUGGGUGGUAAAUUUCAUCUAAAGCUAAAUAUUGGCGAGAGACCGAUAGCGAACAAGUACCGUGAGGGAAAGAUGAAAAGAACUUUGAAAAGAGAGUUAAACAGUACGUGACAUUGUCAAAAGGGAAGCGUUUGACACCAGUGUUGUUUUCUCGAAAAUCAAUUAAAAAGAGUUAGAUUUUGUUGUGUAUUGACCUUAACAGCUUGCAUUUCAAUUUUCUUGCUUUUUUUAAUGCACUUUUCGUUUAACAAGUCAACAUCAGUUUCUUUUGUUGUAAAAAGGUCAUUGGAAGGUGGCUUUCUUUUCGGAGAAAGUGUUUAUAGCCUUUGACUCCUGCAAUCGGAGAGACUGAGGUCUGCAGCGUAGAUCCUUCGGGGUUAGAUACAUUUGUGCUAAGUUAUAGCUUUUUAUAGACAACUUGUUGACUAUGAUUAGUCUUGUAGCUUACUCGCUUAUGCUAUUUUACCUACGCUUAGGAUGUUGAAGAUGUAGCACAUCAU
rnacentral:rRNA from 1 species